rnacentral:rRNA from 1 species
UACGAAGGUGGCAAGCGUUACUCGGAAUUACUAGGCGUAAAGGGCAGGUAGGUGGUUUGAUAAGUCUGUUGUGUAAGCUCCCGGCUUAACUGGGAGAGGUCAACGGAAACUAUCAGACUUGAGUAUAGGAGAGGUUACUGGAAUUCCCGGUGUAGCGGUGAAAUGCGCAGAGAUCGGGAGGAACACCAAUGGCGAAGGCAAUCCCCUGGGCCUGCACUGACGCUCAUGCACGAAAGCGUGGGGAGCAAACAGG